UGAGUAAUGCCUAGGAAUCUGCCUGGUAGUGGGGGACAACGUUUCGAAAGGAACGCUAAUACCGCAUACGUCCUACGGGAGAAAGCAGGGGACCUUCGGGCCUUGCGCUAUCAGAUGAGCCUAGGUCGGAUUAGCUAGUAGGUGAGGUAAUGGCUCACCUAGGCGACGAUCCGUAACUGGUCUGAGAGGAUGAUCAGUCACACUGGAACUGAGACACGGUCCAGACUCCUACGGGAGGCAGCAGUGGGGAAUAUUGGACAAUGGGCGAAAGCCUGAUCCAGCCAUGCCGCGUGUGUGAAGAAGGUCUUCGGAUUGUAAAGCACUUUAAGUUGGGAGGAAGGGCAGUAAGUUAAUACCUUGCUGUUUUGACGUUACCGACAGAAUAAGCACCGGCUAACUCUGUGCCAGCAGCCGCGGUAAUACAGAGGGUGCAAGCGUUAAUCGGAAUUACUGGGCGUAAAGCGCGCGUAGGUGGUUCGUUAAGUUGGAUGUGAAAGCCCCGGGCUCAACCUGGGAACUGCAUCCAAAACUGGCGAGCUAGAGUAUGGUAGAGGGUGGUGGAAUUUCCUGUGUAGCGGUGAAAUGCGUAGAUAUAGGAAGGAACACCAGUGGCGAAGGCGACCACCUGGACUGAUACUGACACUGAGGUGCGAAAGCGUGGGGAGCAAACAGGAUUAGAUACCCU
rnacentral:rRNA from 1 species